rnacentral:tRNA from 1 species
GGGGGGAUAGUGUAAUUGGUAGCACGACAGAUUCUGAUUCUGUUAGUCUGAGUUCAAGUCUCAGUCCCCCUA